rnacentral:rRNA from 1 species
GAAUUCACUAGUGAUUCAGGCCUAACACAUGCAAGUCGAACGGUAACAGGCCUUCGGACGCUGACGAGUGGCGAACGGGUGAGUAAUACAUCGGAACGUGCCCAGUCGUGGGGGAUAACUACUCGAAAGAGUAGCUAAUACCGCAUACGAUCUGAGGAUGAAAGCGGGGGACCUUCGGGCCUCGCGCGAUUGGAGCGGCCGAUGGCAGAUUAGGUAGUUGGUGGGAUAAAAGCUUACCAAGCCGACGAUCUGUAGCUGGUCUGAGAGGACGACCAGCCACACUGGGACUGAGACACGGCCCAGACUCCUACGGGAGGCAGCAGUGGGGAAUUUUGGACAAUGGGCGAAAGCCUGAUCCAGCAAUGCCGCGUGCAGGAUGAAGGCCUUCGGGUUGUAAACUGAUGGGUACGGAACGAAAAAGCUUCUCCUAAUACGAGAGGCCCAUGACGGU